rnacentral:rRNA from 1 species
UACCAGCACCCCGAGUGGUCGGGACGAUUAUUGGGCUUAAAGCAUCCGUAGCCGGUUCUACAAGUCUUCCGUUAAAUCCACCUGCUUAACAGAUGGGCUGCGGAGGAUACUAUAGAGCUAGGAGGCGGGAGAGGCAAGCGGUACUUAGUGGGUAGGGGUAAAAUCCGUUGAUCCAUUGAAGACCACCAGUGGCGAAGGCGGCUUGCCAGAACGCACUCGACGGUGAGGGAUGAAAGCUGGGGGAGCAAACCGG